CGCAGGUGCACAGGAUGUAAACAAAGCAACAUGGCAGCGCAAGGUUCGGAGGAGACGCGUUAUUAGAAAUAAUAAAACUCACUCCAGGUCAGAUUAUAAACCGAGUCCAGGUCAGCUUUUCUGUCUUCUUUUUUAAAUGGAGUCUGUGAGGAAACGUUUGAGUGAGUUCUCACUGGAAGCUCACGACCUGUAUCUGAACCGAACCGUGCCGUACCUGGAGGAGUCACCUGACCCGCUGCACUUCUACCGGGACUGGAUUGGUCCAAACAAACCCUGCAUCAUCCGGAAUGCCCUCAGUCAUUGGCCAGCUCUGUCCAGGUGGACACCAGAGUACCUCAGAGGAAAGGUGGGGUCAAAGGUCAUCAGCGUGGCAGUGACGCCGGACGGCUACGCCGACGCCGUCAGCGGUGAUCGAUUUGUGAUGCCUGAGGAGAGACAGAUGAGUUUGUCUUCUGUUCUGGACAUCAUCGAGGGGAAGGUGCAGCGCUCCGGCGUCUUCUACGUCCAGAAACAAUGCUCCAACCUCCUGGACCAACUGUCCCAGCUCUCCGACGACAUGGAGACGCACGUGUCCUGGAUGACCUCUGCCCUCGGAAAGUUUCCUGAUGCUGUCAACUUCUGGCUCGGAGAAUCAAAGGCUGUCACCUCCAUGCACAAAGAUCACUAUGAGAAUCUUUACUGUGUGAUUUCUGGAGAGAAAAACUUCAUCCUGCUGCCACCCACAGACCGACCCUUCAUCCCCUAUGUAUGUGUGUGUCAGGUGUGUAUCAGCCAGCCGUUUACCGUCAGCGAGACGACGGUGAGUUCGAGGUCGUGGAUCAGAGCGACGGUGAAAAGGUACCGUGGAUCCCUCUGGACCCUCUGGACCCAGACCUGGAGCGGUACCCUCAGUACCAGAGGGCGCGGCCGCUGCACUGCAGCGUGAAGGCCGGCGAGAUGCUCUACCUGCCGUCGCUGUGGUUCCAUCACGUCCGACAGACGCACGGCUGCAUCGCAGUGAACUUCUGGUACGACAUGGACUACGAUAUCAAGUACAACUACUUCCAGCUGCUGGAGUCGCUGUGUGACAUCACUGCAUGACAUCAUCAACAUGAGAGACAACACAUCCGUGGUGACGUGAACAUAUUAAACAAUUCAAACUAUGA